rnacentral:rRNA from 1 species
UACGGAGGAGGCAAGCGUUAUCCGGAAUUAUUGGGCGUAAAGCGUCCGCAGGUGGCACUUCAAGUCUGUCGUCAAAGACUGGGGCUUAACCCUGGAAAGGCGGUGGAAACUGAAGCGCUAGAGUGCGGUAGGGGUAGAGGGAAUUCCCGGUGUAGCGGUGAAAUGCGUAGAUAUCAAGAGGAACACCUGAGGUGAAGACGGGUUGCUGGGCUGACACUGACGCUGAGGCGCGAAAGCCAGGGGAGCAAACGGG